rnacentral:rRNA from 1 species
UACGGGGGGGGCAAGCGUUGUUCGGAAUUACUGGGCGUAAAGGGCUCGUAGGUGGCCAAUUAAGUCAGGCGUGAAAUCCCCAGGCUCAACUUGGGAACUGCGUCUGAUACUGGUUGGCUUGAAUUCGGGAGAGGGAUGCAGAAUUCCAGGUGUAGCGGUGAAAUGCGUAGAUAUCUGGAGGAAUACCGGUGGCGAAGGCGGCAUCCUGGACCGAGAUUGACGCUGAGGCGCGAAAGCUAGGGGAGCAACGGG